GAGCUUGCUCCUUGGGUGACGAGUGGCGGACGGGUGAGUAAUGUCUGGGAAACUGCCCGAUGGAGGGGGAUAACUACUGGAAACGGUAGCUAAUACCGCAUAACGUCGCAAGACCAAAGAGGGGGACCUUCGGGCCUCUUGCCAUCGGAUGUGCCCAGAUGGGAUUAGCUAGUAGGUGGGGUAACGGCUCACCUAGGCGACGAUCCCUAGCUGGUCUGAGAGGAUGACCAGCCACACUGGAACUGAGACACGGUCCAGACUCCUACGGGAGGCAGCAGUGGGGAAUAUUGCACAAUGGGCGCAAGCCUGAUGCAGCCAUGCCGCGUGUAUGAAGAAGGCCUUCGGGUUGUAAAGUACUUUCAGCGAGGAGGAAGGUGUUGUGGUUAAUAACCGCAGCAAUUGACGUUACUCGCAGAAGAAGCACCGGCUAACUCCGUGCCAGCAGCCGCGGUAAUACGGAGGGUGCAAGCGUUAAUCGGAAUUACUGGGCGUAAAGCGCACGCAGGCGGUCUGUCAAGUCGGAUGUGAAAUCCCCGGGCUCAACCUGGGAACUGCAUCCGAAACUGGCAGGCUAGAGUCUUGUAGAGGGGGGUAGAAUUCCAGGUGUAGCGGUGAAAUGCGUAGAGAUCUGGAGGAAUACCGGUGGCGAAGGCGGCCCCCUGGACAAAGACUGACGCUCAGGUGCG
rnacentral:rRNA from 1 species